AUGCUAUUCACAGCACCAGUGUUAAACUUAUGGAUGCAAAUACCACAAAUGAAUGGACAACAGAUAAAGCAUUUUCCUGAAUUCUUGCUUCUACAAGAAGGAGAGAACUUCACUACAUACUGCAAUUUCUCGAGCAACUUUUACAACUUACAGUGGUAUAAGCAGAGGCCUGGGGGCAGUCCUGUCCUCUUGAUGAUAUUAGCUAAGGGUGGAGAAGUAAAGACGCAGCAGAGACUGACAGUUCGGUUUGGAGAGUCCAGACAGCACAGCUCCCUGCACCUCACGGCCGCCCAGCCCUCAGAUGUAGGAACCUACUUCUGUGCCCAGAAACAGUGCUCUGGAAGCACCUGCUUCAGAACUUUUGUGCUGAAAACUAUAAAGCACUGA